UACGUAGGGGGCGAGCGUUGUCCGGAUUUAUUGGGCCUAAAGCAUCCGUAGCCGGUCCUGCAAGUCUUCCGUUAAAUCCAGCUGCUCAACAGAUGGGCUGCGGGGGAUACUACAGGGCUAGGAGGCGGGAGAGGCAAGCGGUACUUUAUGGGUAGGGGUAAAAUCCGUUGAUCCAUAGAAGACCACCAGUGGCGAAGGCGGCUUGCCAGAACGCGCUCGACGGUGAGGGAUGAAAGCUGGGGGAGCAAACCGG
rnacentral:rRNA from 1 species